rnacentral:rRNA from 1 species
AGCUCCAAUAGCGUAUCUUAAAGUUGCUGCAGUUAAAAAGCUCGUAGUUGGAUCUCGGGAUCGAGCUGACGGUCCGCCGCGAGGCGAGCUACCGUCUGUCCCAGCCCCUGCCUCUCGGCGCCCCCUCGAUGCUCUUAGCUGAGUGUCCCGCGGGGUCCGAAGCGUUUACUUUGAAAAAAUUAGAGUGUUCAAAGCGAGCGAUUGCCAUGAAUACAUUAGCAUGGAAUAAUAGAAUAGGACCUGGUCCUGUUUUGUUGGUUUGUCGGUAUCAGGUAAUGAUUAAGAGGGACGGUCGGGGGCAUUUGUAUUCCAGGGUUAGAGGUGAAAUUCUUGGACCGGCGCAAGACGGACGAAAGCGAAAGCAUUUGCCAAGAAUGUUUUCA